rnacentral:rRNA from 1 species
GACGAACGCUGGCGGUGUGCUUAACACAUGCAAGUCGAACGAUGAACCCGGAGCUUGCUCCGGCGGAUUAGUGGCGAACGGGUGAGUAACACGUGAGUAACCUGCCCUUGACUCUGGGAUAACUGCUAGAAAUGGUAGCUAAUACCGGAUACGACCCUCGGUGGCAUCACCAGGGGGUGGAAAGAAUUUCGGUCAAGGAUGGACUCGCGGCCUAUCAGCUAGUUGGUGAGGUAACGGCUCACCAAGGCGAUGACGGGUAGCCGGCCGGAGAGGGUGACCGGCCACACUGGGACUGAGACACGGCCCAGACUCCUACGGGAGGCAGCAGUGGGGAAUAUUGCACAAUGGGCGCAAGCCUGAUGCAGCAACGCCGCGUGAGGGAUGACGGCCUUCGGGUUGUAAACCUCUUUUAGUAGGGAAGAAGCGAAAGUGACGGUACCUGCAGAAAAAGCACCGGCUAACUACGUGCCAGCCGCCGCAGUAA